rnacentral:rRNA from 1 species
CCUUCGUUGGGGAACCUGGGGGAGGGACCAUUA